AUGUUCAUGGGUGCUGCUGCUAUUUCUGGAGUGCUGCUGCUGCUGCUUCAAACUUUUGGAGUAAACUGCUGCUGCUUCUUCAAACUGUUGGAGUAUAUUGGGUCAUCUAGAUUAACAAACCUCCCUGCAAAUAAAUUUAGCCAUGCCUGCUCCCAUUCGCCUAGUGAUUUCUUCAAUAGCCUUUUGGUAUCUAAAAACAAAAGAAAGAUGAUUAUAUUCUGCAAGUUUCAAAAGAACUUGAUGGACAAACCGUGUCUGAUGGAAAAACAAAUGCGGAAAAGAGGGAGUAGAUGUUCAAUGUGGUUACUUCACGAGUUUGUUAUGUUUUAUUGA
rnacentral:rRNA from 1 species